AAUAACCUUGCAUAACAGAGAGAGUUUGGUGGAAAAUGUACAUAUCUUCCCAGCUCAGGCACCAGAAACCCAUGAGAAGGACCCUGAAGACGAACUACACCUUAAGCAAAAAAAACAGUGCUUCCUGUUAAAAGUCAAGACACAAAAAAACUUGACGUACACCUUGUCUCAGGAAAGGUUUGACAGAACAUGGCUCCGUAGUGUUCAGCAGCUCAAAACAACUGGGCCAUUUGGUGCUGUGGAUGGGCAGGCUACGGUGGGUCCCAUUGUCACCGCACUCUCUUGCAUAGUAGAGGCCACCUUGCACCACCGCCCUUGUUGACAGAAUAAAAGGGAGUGGCAUAUCCCUGUUUUUCAAAACAGAUGAUCUCAACUCCUGGCACCGAGCAUUUGACGUGUUUCUCACUGCCCUGCAUUGAAGCAGCUCACCCCUGUGGCUGUGCUGCAGGGACUGCAGACCCUGCACCUCCACGUUACCUCAGCGAGAUGCCCAUCUGCUACCGCUACUGCAAUUAUGUAGAAAAUUCAGGAUUGUUCAGCAGCUGGUCCAAGGUGUGUCCCUGACAGACAGAAAUACCUGGUAACCAUCUGUAUGAAGUCUCACAUACCGUGUUAAAUCAGUCCAGGGAGCAACGUGCCCCAGAAGAGCUACAGAAACCCAAUGCUCAGCACGCCAAAUUUGUGCGCGAGCUUUGCCAUUCCUUGCAAACAGUCCCAUUGGAGGUAGGGUUUGACAGGAAGACAGUCUGUGGUUCAAUUGACAGGCUGAAGGUGUGUGAGAGCCAGUUGUGCCUUCCAGAAAUUUAGCAUAAAAUCCAGAGAACAAUGAAUUUGUUGUCUCUAUUGAUUUUUGAAACAAUGUAGCACCUAAGCUGUGUGUUGGCAUGUUUUCAGAAUGGUUUCAGCCUUUGUAUAGUCCCCUUAUCGGUUGCAAUUGCAUGGCAAAAUUAACCGCUUUAGUCUCAGGCUAAGAAUGCUACUUUUGUAUUAUGUUGAUUACAUUAUCUUACAUGCUGAUAAUAAUCAUACAUGGUCUUGCUUUUUUUAUACUGGUGUUUUCCAGUAAAUGCACUCGUGUCAUUUAAAAAAAUCAAUAGCUGUAUUAUCUUCAGAUUGCCUCAUGUAUUGCAGCACUGUAAGAAACCAGGUGUUGGAAAUACAAUGUUAAGCCACCCAAAGCCACCGCAGUUAAUCAGAUUUAACACCUAACUGAACUAGGCUCAACCAGAGCUUUUGGUAGGAGUGGGAAUAAACAAUCCUGCUUAAGUAACUCUGUUGUAUUAUGUGAGAGCCCAUUAAUAGCUGCAGUUUCUAUUAAAGCUGGAUGUAAUUCUAGAAGCCAAAGGCCCUGUUCUUGUUUAAGCAUGUUUUGUACCUCGCAUUUCUCUGGUACAGCAGGUCUUGGAAGGGCCUACCACUUAUUUUUCUAUGACCUGCAGACAGACUAUUGAUCAUAAAUGUAUUUGCUUUUAAUUAAUAUAGCAUCAGGAAAAGCAUAUGAGAGGAGACUGCAGAGAGUACGCUCUGCUGGUUGACCUCCACAGUGAUGCCAUAGCACUGAGUCACUCUUUAUUUAUUCUCUUGAACCUGUAAUGAAAAGGUGCAUACUCUACCACAAUUAAAGGGUUAACCUUUGUCAUAGUUAGCCAGAUUUCCACGACCAAACCGAUGCAAAAACUUAGCUUUUGUGUUGCCUGAAUAACAGAAUUCCCCCAAACAACUCACACUUGAAAUGGAACAAAACCCCCACCUCCGAAGCACAAGCAGAGAGCAGGCAUUGGUGUGGAGGGCCGGGGGUUCCUUGAGAUGGGGUGGGAUUAGAGACAGACUCCCAGGGAGUCAAGGUGAGUACAGCAAGAAGAGGGGACAGGAGCUCAAGGAUGUCCUACCGCAUUUUACUUUAAAAGGUAUGCUUUUUCCUUUGUGGCAGUGCUUGAACUUGACUUUUUUCUCUUAAAAGGAACAGCCUUUUCUUUUUUUUUGUGGCUUAGCGUAACAAAAGAACGAGCUUUUGAAUGGUAGCUUGCUUUUCUUUGGCUUUCAGACAAGGGGAACGUUCCAAUAUCUCAGAAUAUAUAUUUUACCCAUAGAAAAAUGGGCUUUUUUAUCCUCCUGUAUCCUUUUUGAUCCCUCUGCAUAAUUGUCUUAGGUUUCCAUGCUUUUAUCUUCACUCCAUGAAGAUAUGCCCUUGGAUCUUCCCAGUACAUAUGGUUGGGAACCUGCAACUUUGUGUACCAGGGCCGUUGUCACUGCUGGGGACAUUGUAGUGGUCAUAACCACUGCUUCCUGUACUGACUACACUGUUCCAGUGCUCAUACUUUUAAGAUCCCUGAUAUCAGUUCCCCCCUUCAUAGGACUCAUAGGCAACCCCCAGCAAUUUUGCACCCCUACAGUCAUGCCUUUUCCCAGAGCAAGCUGUCUGGAAGGAGACAGACCUUCCUGCAGAGAAGUUUGUCUCAGGAAUUUCCAAAUUCCUUCUCCUUCCUGUUACCCAGCAAAUCUAACAGUCUCUCCUUUGACAGAGGCUCCUAGAAAAACACAGUCUCCGUAACUGCUGAAGGACUGAUGCAGAUUAAGGGGAAAAAACAUGGGUUAAUACAUUUCCAGAACCUCUUUAUUCCAUAGACAAUGCUGACCAGGAGCAUACACAGUGGAGGGUGAAAUAUCCUGGGGAGAUCACAGAAAAAAUCCUGUUGCAUAAAAACAAUAUGCUUCAAGAAAAACAGAAAGGCAGAUAGGUGCAUCUGUUAUCAAUCAGCUCUUCAGACAACAAGUUUAGGAGUCGUGGAGCAAAAGAAACAAGCCUUCCCUAGGGCUGAAAUUCCUCCUUGGAAUUUCUCAAAUGUCCAUGGCUGCAGAGCUGUAGUUCCCAGUCUGCCCCGUGCCUCCUUACCAGCCUGACCACCCAGCCGGGGAAACAAGCAAAAUGUUGACUACCUGUCCAGAGACCAUACCGGCUAGCUGGGAAAAGACACGGUUGCCUUACCAGUACAUUAAGAGCUUUAGGCCAUUAAUUAACAAUCCAACAAAGUGCUGAUCAAUUCCUGAUCACAUACGUACUAAAUCACGGAUUUUUUAUUUGUUUGCUUUCAGUAAGGAUAUUUAAAUUACAAAAUUAACUUCCUGUGAAGUUGUCUAUAGUACCAAUUCAGCUUUCUCCCUGAGUGGAAACUGCAGAGUACAUUACACUGAGUGCUCAUAUACUAAUGUUAAAAGCAGUUUGUUUUGUAAUGACAAUGCUGACUGAAUAGCAAAAGUUUCUGUAAAAACACUGGUAUUUAAAGCUUGAACUCAUGUCCUUGUAUAACUCCCUUGUCCUUAGGGCCCUCAGUUCUGGCUCCCAGCUCCCUCCUCAUUCCUAGCUGUCCCAGGUAUCCAUGCACCUCGUCUUUAACUCCAGGCAGCCGGAUCUGCGUUGCCCUUUAUUUGCCCUUCCUGACUUAUUGCAGGCAACGCGGUUCCUGCCACUUGCCGCUCCAGCACUGGGCUCCCUGGCAGUUCUUGCAAGGAGAGUGGGGCCUGAAGCAAUGAACUCCUGGGGGCAGGGAGAGAGGGGGAGGCAACCUCAAGGAGCAUGUUCUGGCUGUAUCGAGAGUGCAUCCACAUUAGUAUGUUGGUUUGGAUGAUCUUUUGUUCUGCAGGUCCUUUCCUAGAGGAGUGGGUUGUCAUCAUGUGUGUGGCAGCAAGAGGCAGACCCCCCAGAAGAACCCUGCUUCGAAGCUUGAUUAUAAAUCAGUCACAAUCAGGUGUCUCUGCAGAAGUGACCAUUAUACAGAGGAAACAGCCUGGCUUUCUUCAGUCAUGUCAAUAAGGAAUGAACAUGCCCUACCUCCAAGACAGACUAAAUGAAAAUAAAAUGAGUAUCACUCCAAACUGAACAUUGGCUAUACCUAUGCACUCUUGGGAGAAACAUGGCUUUCAGUGUUUCAGUGUUGUGUCCAUGAGAAUCCUUUUAGCUUUGAUCAUAAGCUUUGUAUAUAGGGUCAUAAAAAAAGGGGUGCAUCUUUGUUAACCAUGUAAAUAAAACUCCUCUGUGAGGUUGACAUCCUACCCUUCCCAGGUAGGUUCCUUCAAAUUUUUUUUUUUAUACUGUCUAGUUUGGGUAUUUGAAAAGAUGGAGCUUUUGCUUUUCCUUAAAGUAUAAGAAAACUUUGCAUUUUUUUCUGAAGCAAAUAAUGUGUUUUGCCUACUGCACCUUUCUUGGUUUAGUCGCUUAUCAGAAGAUAAUGGGGAGAUGUGAACUCUCAACGAUCUACAUGAAGGAAAUGAGACACAGAAACUUUAAUAAAGACCUCUUCUGUGUUCACUCAAUAUUUAACUACAGAUACAGCCGAUGCCAUAGGGCAGAAUAAGGGAAGUUUAAGUGAGUCUUUUCAUUUUCAGGAACACAACUGCAAAAGAUCUCAAGCAGCAGUUUCUGUGUACUUUUUAAUUAUCCAAAUGCAGGGAUUGACAGAAGUUUUUAGAACACUGGAAAAAAAAACAAUAAGAAACAAGCAAGAUUACCCAAUUGUCUUUCUUCAGCCCCCCUUUGAAGGUCACCUGUAACUAGUUUAGAAUAUGAUUGAAUAAUACCAUAUGUUUAGUAAAUUAGGUACAAACAGUAAAGGUAACUACAACUGAGCUAAAAGCAUUUAAAAGUAAUCUUCACAGAUAAAACGAAAACAUUUAUGUUGUAAUCCUUACAUUGUGAAUUACAUUCAUUACUGUAUUCAGUGAGCUACUGUAUUCAGAGGGCUACAACAGUUAUAACACAAUUUCACUGGGUCAAAAUUGAUUUGGGGAAAGAUGGUAAGAGCUUCUACUCCAAAAGUAAGCAGUAUUCUCAAUUUCAAAAAGACAAGCUUUGAUAAACAAAGGAACUGAGGAUAAUACAAUUAUUUUAAGUGAAGAGGAUAAAACUAGGUGAACUUUGUGUCUCAAGAAAGCAGAAAAAGUUCUACUGAAGAGAGCUAGUUGAAUAAAUAACCACAAGCAAAAAGCAAAACAUUUACAAAAUGGCAAAGAGGAUUAAGCACAAAGGAAAUUUUAUCUGAGGGAUCAAGAAAAGGAAGGACAAAGUGAGAAUUGCCAAAAAUCAAGCUGAGUUAGACUUCCAGAAAGAUAUGAAAAGCAAACAAUAAAAAAGAUUCUUCAUCCCCAUAAACAAAAGACAAUAAAGAAAGGACUGUAGUGUUAUGGAAUAUGAAAUAGAGAGAGAUGGAAGAUAAUCUUGGCAAAAGAUAAAUUGCACUUUGCUAUUGAUUUGAAAUGAAUACUUUUCCUCAGUUUUUAACGACUACAAUGAUUGAUCAUGGGAGCAAAGGCAAUUUAGAUAAUGGCAGGAGUGUAUGGAAAAGCAUCGUUCAGAACAAAGUUAGAGCAGAACUCUUCUCUACCCUGUUCCUGAAAAGAACUGUGAGCUCAUGGGUCCACUGCCAGGUGGAUGAAGAGGAGCAAAUUUCACACCUAUCACUGAAAAAAAAGGUGGUUAAUUCCAGCAGUGGUGGUUUUAUAGCCCAUCACCAUGACAUCCAGGUAUGUAGAACACACAUAAACAAGUAGUAAUUACAAUUUAGGCCAAAACUGAAAUUCACAGCCUUUUUAUGUCAUUCACCUUUUCCAAAUGUAACUGAGUGACAUUUCUAUUUGCCAAGUGUUUCCUGCUGGGUAUGUAAGCUAAACUUUAAGAAGCUUCAGUGAUUUCAUGUUUUUAAUAAGACAUAAUAAGCACUGUCCAAGUAUUAAAUGUAUGCUACUUCUACUAUUAUGAUUUAACAUACACAGAAUUCUACAAGACUUACUUAAUUGUCAAAAUGUCCUUUUUUUUUCUUUUUUUUUUGUAAGCAGUUGUCAUUUUUCAAGAGAUUAACUGCAUGGCAGUACUAUACUUACAACUAUCAGUCAAAUCUGAACUGACUGCAGAGGAAACCAUAAUGGCCUCCUGAAAAUGAUUUCACAUGAGGACAGUUCUUUGUUUUUACUUUCCUCAUGCAAUUUAGAAGGGCAUUUGCUCAUUGUAGACAAGAAAUUCAUUUAUUCAGUAGGAACUAAUCAUGAGGUGUUUGCAAUCAGUUUUCUCAGCUAAAAAUAGCUCAAGUUACUAAAAGAUCAUUGCUGCUUGUUACUACAAUGACACAAUUUAGAAUUUCUAUCAUGUAUAAUAGCCCAGAUUUGCUGAGAAAUUCUGUUCCAUGAGUUUUGACUCACUGAACUGUGAAGUUGGCUGUGGUUGCUGUCCUCUCUGUAAGCAGAAAUCUGAGAAGUGGGGCAAGCAAAUCAGAAUGGGAAUGGAGGAGCAGAGCCAGCUUGGCAAUAUUAGAGAUGAGUGCUUUUGUUUUUAAAGGAAGGGAAAAAAUGCCUUGAAAGUUGUGCAUUCUCUGUGCCUACACUGGCUCUGUAGCAACUUGCUUUUCUGUUCUUGUAAUAACCAUCAAAACAAGACAGCAAAAGUGCUCUUCCUCACAGCACACUAGUUUUUGCUUCUCACAGUCACAUACCAGGUUUGCAUAGAAUUAGCCUAACAUAACCUUUACAUAAAUAUUAGCAAUGAAUGUUCUCCUCCACAAAAAGCAAGCACAAUUCUUUGCUGCCCAUUGGGUGGAGGGCUGGUAAGGGCAGCUUUAUCCCAUAUUUGAGUCUUCAUUUGUGUUGGCAAUGCCUCUCAUGUAAGUUGGCAGCCCUAAAUUACUUUGCUGCCACAGCCCCCUAUGGAUCAUUGCAGCAGCUCGAAAUAGCUGUUCAAAGUGAGGAAACCUCUACACAAGGAAUUUUCCCUAGGGAGACAUUUCAAGAACUCUACAGCCCCUUUGUGCUACUGGGAAAGUGUAAAGAGACUGUGUAAGAAUACAGAAUUCAUCAUUGUCCUUUCCAUACAAUAAAACAUUCAUACUUCCUCA